rnacentral:rRNA from 1 species
CGACAGCAAUAUGAAGGUCAGGCUGAAGACCUUACCCGAUUAGCUGAGAGGUGGUGCAUGGCCAUCGUCAGUUCGUACUGUGAAGCAUCCUGUUAAGUCAGGCAACGAGCGAGACCCACGUCCACAGUUGCCAGCAUACCCUCCGGGGUGAUGGGUACACUGUGGAGACCGCCGCUGCUAAAGCGGAGGAAGGAGUGGGCAACGGUAGGUCAGUAUGCCCCGAAUCUCCCGGGCUACACGCGGGCUACAAUGGUUGGUACAAUGGGCAUCUACCCCGAAAGGGGAAGGAAAUCUCUUAAAGCCAAUCGUAGUUCGGAUUGAGGGCUGCAACUCGCCCUCAUGAAGCUGGAAUCCGUAGUAAUCGCGUUUCAACAGAACGCGGUGAAUACGUCCCUGCUCCUU